GACAGAGGGUGCAAACGUUGUUCGGAUUUACUGGGCGUAAAGCGCGUGUAGGCGGCCUUGCAAGUCGGAUGUGAAAGCCCACGGCUCAACCGUGGAAGUGCAUCCGAAACUGCAUAGCUUGAGUCUCGGAGAGGAAGGUGGAAUGCUUGGUGUAGAGGUGAAAUUCGUAGAUAUCAAGCAGAACACCUGCGGCGAAGGCGGCCUUCUGGACGAUGACUGACGCUGAGACACGAAAGCGUGGGGAGCAAACAGG
rnacentral:rRNA from 1 species